UACGUAGGCAGCAAGCGUUGUUCGGAGUUACUGGGCGUAAAGAGCUUGUAGGCGGUUUGUCGCGUCUGCUGUGAAAUCUCAAGGCUCAACCUUGAGCUUGCAGUGGGUACGGGCAGACUAGAGUGUGGUAGGGGCGACUGGAAUUCCCGGUGUAGCGGUGAAAUGCGCAGAUAUCGGGAAGAACACCCGUGGCGAAGGCGGCUCUCUGGGACGGUACUGACGCUGAGACGCGAAAGCGUGGGGAGCGAACAGG
rnacentral:rRNA from 1 species